GCCCGAAACAUCAACAGGAUUGUUCCAUGGCACUGUACAAAAUGGGGACCAAAGUUGCAGCACCUUGCCUAUGGAUGCAGCAAAUCCAUCUUUAACACCACAGGUUAGCAUAAAAAAGGUGAUACGUCUGCAGUUUUGCUCCUGAACUAAAUGCAGUGGAUUUAUGAGCUCAUUGCUGUGUAAUAUGCAAAAGGUUUUACUGUAUAAACAAAAGGAUGCAGGUUCAUAGGCAUGUCGAGCCGGCUGUAGCGAGGCUGCCGAAGUUCAGAUAUGUUGUUCGACCAAUUCAGAAGAGUCAUUUGAUGGGGUGCGAAGCAGUACAUCCGACAAGUUCUCUUGCUAAAAUGUUGCUGAUUCGAACUGGUUGUUUGUGAUGCUACAUGUGAUGUAUAAAAAAUGGACAGAGAUGGUAAGAUUACAUCUGUAAGUACUGAUUUGUCUGCUUGAGGUUUGGAACAAGUGCAGAGAAUCCAAGUAUGCUCCAGGUCAUCUACUGCCUUAAACUGUAUCUAAAAGGGCUUCCUUGAUGCUAUCGACGCAAGAUAGCCUCCCAAUGCCACACCUACCUUGUCAACUCGCCUCAAUAAAUGAAGCUUGGCGGUGUGCACGGCAGUGCUGAUGUGAACCGGGAUGGGCUCUUCCGCAUGCGACGACAUCUCUGCAUCGACCCUCUCUCUCAUAUAUAUGAACUUCAUUUUUAUGUAGAGAAUAUCUAGACUUCAGUUCAUUACAGGACGCAGUGUGUUACACUAGCAGUACAUAAAAGUUUCUCCAUGUAUCAAAAAACAGAAGUUCAUUUAUAUGGUGUAGAGUUGAUGUGGUUGAUAUGAGAAACAAAGUUUACUUCGCUUAAA